CCCUUAGAUGUUCUGGGCCGCACGCGCGCUACACUGAUGCAUUCAACGAGCCUAUCCUUGACCGACAGGUCCGGGUAAUCUUUGAAUCUGCAUCGUGACGGGGAUAGAUUAUUGCAAUUAUUAGUCUUGAACGAGGAAUUCCUAGUAAGCACAAGUCAUCAGCUUGUGUUGAUUACGUCCCUGCCCUUUGUACACACCGCCCGUCGCUCCUACCGAUUGAAUGUUCCGGUGAGCUCUUCGGACUGCGCGGUCUGCAGUUUCUGCGUUCCGUGCGGAAAGUUGCGCAAACCUUAACAUUUAGAGGAAGGAGAAGUCGUAACA
rnacentral:rRNA from 1 species